AUGUGUCUUCCUAACUCUAAGCCCAGUGCUCUAGCGCUGCCCCAUCUAGCUACCUCUCCGUCCUUUCUCUCUCUGUCUGUCUCUGUCUGUCUCUCUCCUCUCUCUCCAUUUCUAUGUCUCUCUGUCUGUCUGUCUCUCUUCUCUCUGUCUCUGCUUCUGUCUGUCUGUCUCCCUUCUUUCUGUCUCUCUCCUCUCUCCAUUUCUGUCUCUCUUCUCUCUGUCUCUGUCUCUCUGUCUCUGCUUCUGUCUGUCUGUCUCCCUUCUUUCUGUCUCUCUGUCUCUCUCUCUCUCAAUCCAUAUGUGUAUACACACAUAUCUCUGUGUCUACAUAGUUUGCAAGUUCUCCCCCAUUUGACUGUGAUCUCCUUGAGACCAGGAACAGUUUUUGCUUUUCUUUGUAUAUCUAGAGCUCAGUAUAGUCCCUGGCAUACAACAAGUGCUUAAUGCAUGCUUUUUGCUUGAUAAGUUCUUUGCACAAUCUCCCAUAAUCACAGAGCUGAAAGGGACCUCAGAGUCCAUCUCAUCCAACUCAUCCCUGCAGAAGUCUGCCCUUGGCAGUGGACCAGUAGCAACCCAAAGUCUGUCUGAAGCCUCCAGUGGGAGGAAAUGCAUUUCUUUUCAGAGUCAGUCCGUUCUCCUUUAGGACUGCUCUGAUUAUUAAAAGUGUGUGAAAAGCCCAGAUUUGCCCCCUACACCUGUCAUCCAUUGAUCCUAGUUUUGCCUUCUGGGGCCAAGCAGAAGAAAUCUAAUGUCUUCUCCUCCAGACCCUCCAAGACUCUCUGUCUUCGCUUCUCUGAGCUCAACAUGCCCACUUCCUCCAACUGCUCCCUCUUAAGGCGUGGGCUUCAUUGGCUGGAAAAUCUGCAAAACUACAAGUGAACCUGACCCCCACCCACACAUCUUCAAACAAGGCCAUGGCCUAGAAAAUACCUGGAAAUCAAGGGUGCGCGCCGCCUCUCCCCUGUUGACUUUCAUCCCUGCUUAGCCAUCGCUGAUGUUAUCUCUGGACUGCCCAUGCAGGUAAAUAAGGAGUGAAUGAUUAGCGUAUUUCCAGAGAAAGCCUGAGCCCUGCAAAGGCCCUCAU
rnacentral:lncRNA from 1 species